UCUCCAGGGACCCGGCGGCACCGUCGGGAUCUACAGGGCGGCGGGACCGCGAGCCGGUGAUAUCCUCCUCCCUCGGAACGGAGCUGAUGCUGCGGACUCUUCGCAACCAGAAGUGCGAGGUUCCCAUGACGAGGCCCAGCCUGUGCUGUCAGGAUUUGAGCCCUGCUUUCAGGAGCGUUAGCUCUGGCCUGAGGCUGAUUCUGCCUCAGAGAUGGACACUGACACAGACUGUCAUCUCCAGUAUGCUUGGGCUACACACGGGAGUCAGGAGAGCUUUGUGUCCAGAAUUCUACCCCAAGGGGUGGAGCCUACGGGGUACUCUCAAAUCACCUAGGAAUAAACAGUUUCAAAGAGGUUCCAUCAACAGCUAGUAAGGAGUAGUCUUUGUUCCUGGAAUCACCUCUGUUGCAGCUUAGCUUAACCAAGCUUGAAGUGUCCUCACUUUGAUCUUCCUGAUCAGGAUGUCCUUGCCAGUAACGCCUUUAAUUUCUGGGCUACUUAACUGUUCAUUCUGGUCCCUUGCUAACUCUCUUAGCCCUGCUGAUACAGGAUUGCUGGGCACUUACAUCUGUUGAUCCUUAGAUUCCAUCUAAUACUGACCGUGUGACAUCUAGUGACGAUGCACAGCCCCAAGAACCCUGAAGGGUGGGCAGAGAUAGGUAACAAGGGAAAUAUAAACACUAGAGAAGAAAAUGAACAUCUCUUCUUUUCCCACCAGAAAAACAUUACAAAAGCCUACAAGUAUUCAAAAUACUGGUGUUGAGGGUUCCUGGCAAGUGACCUCACCUUUUCAAAGAAAAGCCCCCUGACCAAGGGCUCAGGGGAACUUCCCACUCUCGCUUGGGCCUUAUUAUCUGCUUUGGUCCAACUCACUCACCUGCGGGGGCACCUGUUGAGAUUUCUCUCUCCAAAAUACAGGGCUCUUCCCCUUCCUCCAACUGGCAGAUCACAUACGGUUUGGACAUUGGAAACCCUGGUGAAAAGGAAAAGGAUCAUGACUGUGUAUGUCAGAGGUCAAGGCUUGUAGACAGCCUCCAAAGAAUAAGCAUUGUGAAGUAUCAGGAGCAGAGUCAUGAAGCUUCUUAUUCUGAGUUCAUAUGGAGUGGGACUUUUCCUAGGAACAAGGAAUAGAAAUACUGUAUCUCUGGGCGCCAAAGAGAAUGUAAAUGUCUAAUUCCAGAAUCCCAGGGCAAAAAUCAGCCAACAGGCCCAGACACCCCUAGCUUUUAAACACCAAGGAAAUAAAGAUGGCAUGAUGGGCAGGCUUUGGGCUUUGGAGGAGCUGAGCUCACCCAGGGAGGCCAGGUUCUUGAAAUUCUCUAGCAUCACUUCCCGGUACACGUCCUUCUGAGUAGGGUCCAGCUGCCCCCACUCCCACCGGGUGAAUUCCACAGCCACAUCCUCAAAUGUCAUCAGGUCCUGAAACACAGAAGACACUCUUGCACCCUCGGGAGCACACUCAUGACCCUGGGGAGGAGAGUAGACUGGUGUCUGAGUAGAACCUCAGGAUGUACGGGAAGGGAUUCCGAGAGUUCCUAGCGAUCGCAAUGCCCCUGUUCUGGGUUUUAUCAUCUCAAAAAUAUUUUAAGCUGCUCCAGGGAUUGUGUCAUCCUUACUACUUGGCAUCCCACCCAGUGCCCACAUAUGUCAACAUCAAGCUGCUUAGAAAUGUAAUCGGGGUCUCAGGAGAAUCAGGCCUACAGAGACACUCUGCUUAUAUGGGAGAGAGAAAUACAAUCCAUUUCCUCAGUUUUCCAAAGGUUUCACUCUCAAUUUAGUGACAUUUAAAUAGAAUCAAUUAGAAGUAACAAACUCAUAUACUCUGCAUUCUGAAAUGCAAUGGUUUCAGUAGUUUUCUAAUUAAGUAUUUUUGAAACUUGUGACCUAGGAUUUCAAUGACAACUGUUGCUAAGGCCAAAUAAAAUCAUUUGGGGCUUAGAAUAACUUAUCCCCAAAACAGCCUGCCAGCACGCAGUUCACUGAAAGUAUAUCAAGUGGCCUUAUAGUGAAUCAGUUAAGACUUCUGCGAGUUUGAUUAACAUAAAUCCUCUCCCCCAAAGCCUAAUCAUUUUUCAGUUCCCGAAUGUGCAAAGUUGAGAGUGAGACCCUGGAUCUCAGGUCCCCACAAGGUACAACCAUUCUGUGGGUCCCAACCAGAACUAUCCUGUCACUCUCUAUAACAGCAACACUCUCAUUUGACUUACAUUGUACAAUAAUCCAUAAACUAUGAACUAUAAAGCAGAUAAGUGAAGGUAGUACUGUUACUUUCCCCCAAAAACGUUUAAAAGUCAAAUCCCAUUUAGAUACUAAGGUUUCCAUAGAAUAAGGCAAAGUAACAAUUUUAUAUUAAGUUAAAGGCAGUCCAGAAUAAUCAAAUGUGGAAAACUCACUACUUUAGUAACCUCUUGUGAUCGAUUAUUAUAUUAUUUAUUAUAAUUAUAUUAUUAUAUUAUUUGUUCAAAAUAUUCAUUGGCCCUCCCUACAAAAUUGAUGGUCCUAACCCACUGUCUCACGUGUGGCCAAAUACUCUGCUUUCACAGAUGGAAUGUGAAGGAAGUGACAGGAGCUUCUUAAUGAGCAAAAGCCUUCAGGGUCAGUGGAGGUUCUGCAACUGCUUCUUUUUCCUCUGCUUUGAGAACAGCAAACGAUCCCAGAGUGAAGAUGUGGGGCAAAACCACAGCUUGUGUGUAAUGUGGACAAGAAAUAAACCAUUGCUGGUGUAAGUCUCUCAGGGUUUGCUGUUGUUAUCACAGCAUAACUAGCCUAAAUUGACUCAUUAAAAAAGCUGGUACUCCAAGUAGGGUUCUGCCAUGACAAAAAGCCGAAAAUACGUGACACUGUCUUCAGGGCCAGGCAGUGAGGAAACUUAUUGGCAAGAUGGCAACCCAUGUAAUUUGGUGGUGAGCUGUGGGGUAAAGCUGUUGCUGCUGUAACUUGAAAGACGAACAAUGCAAGCAUGAGCUUGUGAUGUUAUGAAAAGAGGAGGGAAACAUAAUAUCAGUAGUAUGAGUUGGUUGUCAUUGGCACUGUCAUUUGACAGUAUUACAGGAAAACAAAAAAAAAUGAGCUCAAGAGUUUGCUGAUUUGCAAAAUAAAAAUGGAAGGCCAAAGAAAGUGUCCAGAAACUCCAGGACUUGCAGGGUUGGAGAUUUAACCAAUUCUCAUUUCCAGCUGGUCAAAGACAAAAUAAAUAUGACUUUUGCAUGACAAAGGCUGAUUAAAACUCAGCCUAAUGGCAAGGACCAAAUCAUGGGUGUGAUUGUCAAACCUUUUGUUUAAACCUCUUAUUAAUUUCAGAUGGCUCCCAGUAAAUCCUUUCAGUGGGACCAAUCUGUUCAGAGUGACUAAAAGUAUGGUUUUCCCAAGGAAACCCCAAAAGCUCCACAAUUAAGUCUAAAGAGAGGGGCAUAUUUCAACAAGAACUGUGGGAAAAAGCUAUUGACACAGGGAGCUAAUGGAAGGAAGUAACACAAAAAGCUGGUCGAGUUUUUGAGAGUUACACUGAAUGUUCAUGAUUUGAAACAAUCCUUGGGCCAUCAACCUACCCAGGCAGAAUGAAAAAGCUGCUUAGCCCUCAAAAGAGUUUAUUCUCCAACAUCAUCUUCAUAUGUGACCAAGGGGGAUACUGCAAAAGGAAGGAACUUCUGGAGGGCAGAGCUAAGAGCCAGGGAGAACACUGGACUGGGGAGCUGUACCCAGGGAGCAGAGCCACUGCAUAUAACCAAAAGACUUCCCCACUCCCGAGGCCAAGGUCCUCACCAAGUCUGCCCAGUGGAAUUUUUUCUUUUAAGAGAUCUUUAUUGGAGUAUAACGGCUUCACAGUUCUGGGUUAGUUGCUGUUGCACAACAAAGCAAAUCAGCCAUAUGCAUACUCUGCCCGGUGGAAUUUCCUAACUGUUACAGACCAGGGACUGCUGGGCUCCUCCCAUGGUUCCCCUUUCUGAACAGGGGUGUUUACUGUGGUUAUCCCGCCCCAUUGUUCCACUGUAUGUGGGAUAUAUGGAUUCUUUUUUCAUAGAUCUCCAUAUCCAGAGGAGAAAUAUCCAGACCUGAUGUCCAAAAUAUCACACCAUCCAGGACUUCAGUCCUGAUGCUCUGACUGGAUGGGGCUUUUGGAUUAUAUCUCCCCUGGGGAGAGAUUUUGUGUGCAGGAGGGAGGGAAGUGAACAUCUGUGAGCAAGAGAACAGACAGUGUAAUUGUUUGUUCAGAAUGUUUACUGCCCCUCCCUCUGGGCCCCUUACUAUGAGAGGCUUAUACUUCCCACCUCACGGACAUUAGGCAUGGCCACGUGACCUGCUCUGGCCAAUGGGUUGUGAGCAGAAGCAGCACAUGCCAGUUCUCAGCAGAAGCCUGGAGAGCCGUCUCCUGAGCCUCACACUGCACCUUCCCCCAGCCACGAGAACGGCACACCCCAGAGGAGGGCAGAUCCUUCAGCCUGAAUCCCAGAGUAAAGAGGGUAUGGAUGGAGCAGAGUCACGGCGAGCCCCCUAAUGACAGCCAGAAUCCCACUAAACCACCAUCUUGGAUGCUAGGAAACGAUGCAGGCUGGCGUUCACGGCCCUCCACUUGGUUCUCCCUCCACAUCCAGCCUCCUACAGCCAAACCUGAAUCCACCUCUACAGUCAGUCACCAUUAACCCCGGCAUCCCCAUCGCAACUGAAGCUGACAAGGACUAGGCAACUCCAUGUGCCAGAAGACUCCAAGAGCUACAUGAGGUGGAUGUGUUACUGAGUGGUUGAGUCUGAAGCCAGACAACCCAGAUCUGAAACUGGCUCCCCCCCCCUUCAUUAGCUAGAUAACCAGGACCACGUUACUUUCUCUCUCUGUGCCUUGGUUUCCUCAGGUUACCUCUCUGUGCCUCAGUUGCCAUUCUUCAAAAUGGGACUGUUUUAAAGAUGAAAUUAAUUAGUAUAAAUAAAUUGUGUAGAAUAGUUCCUGAUACCUAUUUGGUUUUCAGCAAAUAAUAGCUUUUAUUAUUUUCAUCGUUAUCAUCCACAUGAUUAUCAUCCUCAUUUUACAGUUGGCAAAACCAGGGCAUUGAGAGUUUAGGUGAUUCAUCCAAGGUCACGCAGCCAGAAGCAGGGAAGUUAAGUGUGUUUCCACACUAACCCGGGAAGAUAACAUGUGCACGGGGGCCCAGCCUCAAAUGACCUCCUCACCUGUCCGAACCCUCAGAACCUCCUUGUCCCCACUUCUCCAUGCACCUUCCCCAACCUCUCCAGCACAGGCUGGUUCUCCUUUUCCCAAACUCUGAUGGAAAGGCCUGUCUAUGCCAUUCCAUCUGCCAUCAAACCACACACAUCCUUACUGUGAUUGGGGCUGCAUCCCGGGUGCGAGAGUCCUCUCCCCUCCGUGGCUGUGACAUCUCCUUCAGGGCCAGGGUGCUCUCACAUUACUUGGUACUCACCACAGUGCCCGUUACAGAAAUAAACCAAAGGAUCUGAGUGAGUGCACACUGAGCAGAGGAGAGGGCCCUGGACAAGGGGCAAGGAGGCCAGCAAAAGCCUUGAUGGGCUCGGCCUCCUGCAGAGCAGGAAUUGGGGUCAGUUCCCUUUGGCAAACCAGGAAGCUCCAGAGAAAAGGAGGCAAAACUAGCCAUAGUUCAGGCAAUUGAGGAAAAAUCAAGAGAAGCCCAACUCACCUGGGGCCUGGCUUUCAGGAAUAAGCUGGCUGUUCCCUUUUCUCCUGGGCAUCUCUCUGGAGGAAGAGCAGGGUCCUGAGAAGGGAGAACUAGGAAGGUAAAAGGAGCCAUAAGGAAGGCUAACCCUCAUGAGAUUUACAGCUCCCAGACUCCCCAAGUCAGUGUGUCGCUUCCAUGGUUCUGGGGACAAGGCUGGGCCAAAGGGAGCUGACGGACGGGCUAGAGGCUGCCCUUGUACACAGCUGCGUGAGGUCCCCACCUGUCCAUAGGCCACAGCAAGCUGUAGGUAGCUGAAGUGUGACCACAGUCUGGCCACUCUAUCGGAGAGUUAUUUACUGGGCCUCCAAUAAUGCAGGUCAUUUACUAGGCCUUUUGAAAAUAUAAACGUGAAUAAGAACUUCAAGGAAUUUUAAUGUAACCUGAGGAUAUAAGACAGGUUAACAAUACAAAACAAGGCCUAGGAUGAGGCCACAUAGGGAUAUAGGACUUUGGGGAAGAAGUUACACCUCUCCCCUUAUCCCUGGGAAGCAAUGCAGAGGCCAGCUCUUCCUGAGAAGCUGUCCUCUAUGUUCUUAAGCACCGUUAGGUCUCUAGAGUGUAUUUUGAGAGCCCCUCUAUUAUAGGCCUUUGUAUCAUACUCUUUUUAAAGUCUUCAAACAAAAAACUAACCCCAACCAUGCCAGAGAAGUGGCUACGGCCACCACCAACAAACGCAGGGAGGUAGGCAGGCAGCGUGGUAUAGCACAGGUCAGCACUUUUCAAACUUUAAUGUGCAUAUGCAUUCCUGAGGAUCUUGCUAAACAGACUGGGUCAGGGGAUGUGGGGUAGGGCGUGAGAGUCUGCAUUUCUAGAGAGCUUGCAGGGGAAGCCUGUGCUGCUGGUCUACAGACCACAAAGCAUAUAGGAAAAAAGAGGGGGUGAGAGUCCCAGAGAUUUAGCCCAGUUCUGUCAUUGGCCAGUUUUAUGACCCUGAGCAUGUGCACUGAAGAACUAAAAUGCCCACCCGGGACUUCCCUGGUGGCGCAGUGGUUAAGAACCCACCUGGCAAUGCAG